rnacentral:lncRNA from 1 species
CAGGAAAAGCAGGCUGGUGCAAACUAGUGUAGAAGAAGAGAGAUUCCAAGAGUGCUCUUGAAGCUAUUGGAGCCAACGCGUGACAGCCAGAGGAAAAAGAGGAGUGGACAACGGAUUGGAGAUGUCAAGGCAGGCAUGUACAGCGAGGAGAAACAUCUG